rnacentral:lncRNA from 11 species
GCUGGACAUAGCGACUCUGAGAUCUCUAGCCUAGUUCAUUAUUAGAGAAUCUAGCUUAUCCAAGUUGCGAAGUCCAUCGUCACGUACCUAUAGCAAAUACGAGAGAAAAAAGAAAAAAAACAGCCAAGAAAAGAAUUUUAAUUUUCAAUCUGAUAAACCGAUAUGUACGAACUAUUGGCUAACUUAUCGGCCACGACGACGACAAUUUGGACCGGUUAAUCGGUGUCAUUCUCGAACGGAGGAUUCACGGCUCGAUACCAUACACGCGGUGCAGUCAAACACAGGAAAUUUGAGAAGAAAAGAUUUGAUAUUAGAAGCGUCGGGGAAUAUUUUGGUAUGGAGGAACAGAACGAGCAAAAGCGUUCGAACGACUAUCAUUUUUCCAUGGUAGUCAGAUACAACCUGUUGCUAAGAGGCCUGAGGAAAUUCGCACGCGAAACGGUGCGAAUCGGCAAGUAGUAGACCCGACUCAGACAAGCGCAAAGAACUGAGCAAGAAAAAACAUUGGGCGUGAAUGUGGAAUCGAGAAGAUUUUUCGAUUUCGAGUUGCAAUAUCUCGAGGAAAAGAAAAAAAAAAAAAAAAAGAGGAAAGAGGAAUCACAAUACCGUUCGAGCCGAGAAAGAUGACGAUUGAAGAAAGAAAUGAAUAAGCUGACUAGACAAGAAUGCAAACGCGGCAACAUUUGCCUCGACCUUGUCAGUCACGUUUACCGAGAAUCAACAGAAUUUUAUUUAUUUUAUUUCAAACCAAUGAAUCCUAUAAUAGUUAAACGUACAUAUUCAUCGUAUAGAAAAGAUGGUUCGAUCGAAUAAUAUUUGGAUCAAUGGCGCGAGAAUGUGUUUUUCUAUGGAAAAGAGAGAAGAGGCAUACCUGUUGUUCGAGUCGAGGACACGGGCCGAACCGAUACGUGAAUUUUAAGUCCGCUACUGCUUGCUCCGUCUUACCAAGGGCACAUAGACUCGUAUCGAAAGAAGAGGAAAGAGAGGAGUCACACCUGGCGCGGUACAAGAUGAGAUCACUACCGCACUCACUGAUCAACUGGCCCCGCGCCCCACGUCUGGGGCCGCACGCACCUUUCGCGUUACCCCUUCCCCCUCGAACUCCGGAACCUGGAGCUCCUUGGCCCCCUCGGGGCCCCUUCGGCCCUCUUCCACCCUCCAGUCCCCUCCAUAUCCUCUUUACCUCUUCAGCUUCGUUUCGAAUGCCCAUUGGUCCGUUCAAAUCGACAUCGUGACGUCACCGAACCGAACUGCCGACAUAUAUACGAGAGGAACGA